rnacentral:misc_RNA from 1 species
CUCUUUUUUUUUUUUUUUUGGCAACUUAUUUUCAUCCCUUUAGAUCCAAUUUUGGAAUUGGUUCAUGCUCUCUCAACCUUUAGGGGAGAUAAAUAUCUCAGGGAAAAUUAGCUGAUUGCAGUGGAAAAUUUUCUGCUAGAAGAUUCAUUCUUGUAUAGACACGCUUGGUCCGCGUCACCAUUAAUAAACACCAAGAAAAUACAAAAGUCAAAAGUCAAGAUUUUAAUGAGACUCUUGCUUUCGGCUUUGACCAUAUUCUGAUUAAUCAAAUUUGUUUUGCCUUUCGAAA